AAGCGCGAAGCCAACUUCAAGAUAAGAUUUCCCACCGCAAGGUUAAGAUCCCAGGAAGACUACCUGGUUGAUAGGUCAAAGGUGUAAGUGCAGCAAUGUAUUUAGCUUAUUGAUACUAAUAGAUCGAGGACUUGACCA
rnacentral:rRNA from 1 species